ACAUGCAAGUCGAACGAAGCAUUUAGGAUUGAAGUUUUCGGAUGGAUUUCCUAUAUGACUGAGUGGCGGACGGGUGAGUAACGCGUGGGGAACCUGCCCUAUACAGGGGGAUAACAGCUGGAAACGGCUGCUAAUACCGCAUAAGCGCACAGAAUCGCAUGAUUCAGUGUGAAAAGCCCUGGCAGUAUAGGAUGGUCCCGCGUCUGAUUAGCUGGUUGGUGAGGUAACGGCUCACCAAGGCGACGAUCAGUAGCCGGCUUGAGAGAGUGAACGGCCACAUUGGGACUGAGACACGGCCCAAACUCCUACGGGAGGCAGCAGUGGGGAAUAUUGCACAAUGGGGGAAACCCUGAUGCAGCGACGCCGCGUGAGUGAAGAAGUAUUUCGGUAUGUAAAGCUCUAUCA
rnacentral:rRNA from 1 species